CUCAGCUGGGAGGGGGAAGGGUCUGGUUCCCCACCUCUCAGAAUUCUUGCGUCAACACUUCAGAAGAUUCCAUGCACAGGCAAAGACUUUACAGGCCCUCAGUCCCCGAGGAACCUUAAACUGUACAAAGAGAGGAAGUCAUUUUCUACUUCCUACAUAUCUCUUCAAACUUUUAUGGAAGAAGAGGGCAAGAGCACAAGCCUUCAACUCCCUUUAUAGCAGUAGCCAAAGCUCUAGCAACAUAACUGAGGAGGGGGAAGGAUGCUCAUUUUCAUCCUUGCUGCCACCAUUCUCCUAGAGAGACAAGAGAGCGAUUUGAAGGAGAAGAGCAUAGGAACCUGUAUGGAUCAGUUCAAUGAAGGUAACUCUGAAAAAGAUAUGAAGACAUUUGUAUGAGAAGCUGAGGAACAGACAGACAAGGCUGGUGUUGAUGGAGAAGAGGAACCAGGAAUGGAAAAGC